GAUGAACGCUGGCGGCGUGCCUAAUACAUGCAAGUCGAGCGAACGGACGAGAAGCUUGCUUCUCUGAUGUUAGCGGCGGACGGGUGAGUAACACGUGGAUAACCUACCUAUAAGACUGGGAUAACUUCGGGAAACCGGAGCUAAUACCGGAUGAGAUUUUGAACCGCAUGGUUCAAAAGUGAAAGACGGUCUUGCUGUCACUUAUAGAUGGAUCCGCGCUGCAUUAGCUAGUUGGUAAGGUAACGGCUUACCAAGGCAACGAUGCAUAGCCGACGUCAGAGGGGGAUAGGCCCCACGGGAGCUGGAACACGGUCCAGGCUACUACGGGAGGCAGCAGUAGGGAAUCUUCCGCAAUGGGCGAAAGCCUGACGGAGCAACGCCGCGUGAGUGAUGAAAGUCUUCGGAUCGUAAAACUCUGUUAUUAGGGGAGAACAUAUGUGGAAGUAGCUGUGCACAUCGUGACGGUACCUAAUCAGAAAGCCACGGCUAACUACGUG
rnacentral:rRNA from 1 species